rnacentral:rRNA from 1 species
GACAGAGGGUGCAAACGUUGAUCGGAAUUACUGGGCGUAAAGCGAGUGUAGGCGGUUUCCUAAGUCAGGUGUGAAAGCCCCGGGCUCAACCCGGGAAGUGCACUUGAAACUGGGAGGCUAGAGUAUCGGAGAGGUUGGUGGAAUUCUCGGUGUAGAGGUGAAAUUCGUAGAUAUCGAGAGGAACACCGGUGGCGAAGGCGGCCAACUGGACGAAUACUGACGCUGAGACUCGAAAGCGUGGGGAGCAAACAGG